AACAUUUUGGAUUUGGAUUUGGGUUAGAUCUAUGAUUGCUGCACCGAAGCGCCUAGGGCAGGCAGGGCCCUGGGCUCCUCUGAUUCUGAUUCUGUGAUUUUUUGAUUAAAUGUAAGGGACAGAUAUGAAAAAGAUUUUGUUGACACUUGCCCUACUGGGAAAAUCGUAAGUGGGUUUCAAACAUAUUCGGUUGUAGGUACGAUUUGGUUAAUAGAUUCCUAUCAACUAAAUUGAUAGGUAUCUAUCGAUUCAAACAGGACAGCAAUGAAACACAUGCUAUUUCUGAACAAAAAGGCAGAACCACAUUCCUAGUUGAGUGUUUUUCUGCCACCAUACACCAUUCCCAAUUUCUCCUACCCCACUGGAGUAAGUAUAUGGAAAUGCCAUCAGUGGCUACAGGUAAAAUGCUGCUGCUGCCAUCAUUACCACCAGGAAAGCUGUUGGUGGCCCAAGACCCUGAUUUCCAGCUCAACCAAAGCCAGAAUUGGGAAGUGGGCAACAGCACAUCUCGUGCCCAGUGGAGGUGCAAAGGCGCAAGGAAACAGAGCUCCUUCUGUGCCCAAUGACUGAAGACAAGAAGAUGGUAUGGCUGAACAAGCCCUCUUUCAGCCUGGCUUACUCUGCCUGUCUCUCAUGCAGAACUCAAGUCUGAGAGGAAUGUUCUCCUUGCUUCUACAGCCAGCCCUUGCCCUCUGACCCCCUCCCUUUCCAGAAGAACAUCUUGGUUAGGUUUUCAGAACAAUGUCUUUUACUUUUAGAGAAUCUCUUCUCUAUUAUGAGGCUUGUAUAGAUGUACGUUUGCUUAAGCAUUAGAAUAAAAAACUUUAUUCUGCUGUCUUUAGAGUUCCA
rnacentral:lncRNA from 12 species